UACGUAGGGUGCGAGCGUUAAUCGGAAUUACUGGGCGUAAAGUGUGCGCAGGCGGCCAUGCAAGUCGAGUGUGAAAUCCCCGAGCUUAACUUGGGAAUUGCGCUCGAAACUACGUGGCUCGAGUGUGGCAGAGGAAGGUGGAAUUCCACGUGUAGCGGUGAAAUGCGUAGAGAUGUGGAGGAACACCGAUGGCGAAGGCAGCCUUCUGGGCCAACACUGACGCUCAUGCACGAAAGCGUGGGGAGCAAACAGG
rnacentral:rRNA from 1 species